rnacentral:rRNA from 1 species
CACGUAGGAGGCGAGCGUUGUCCGGAAUCAUUGGGCGUAAAGAGCGCGCAGGCGGCUUGGCAAGUCGGGUGUGAAAUCCCGGGGCUCAACCCCGGGACUGCAUUCGAUACUGUCAGGCUAGAGGUAGGUAGGGGAGAUCGGAAUUCCUGGUGUAGCGGUGAAAUGCGCAGAUAUCAGGAGGAACACCGGUGGCGAAGGCGGAUCUCUGGGCCUUACCUGACGCUCAGGCGCGAAAGCGUGGGGAGCGAACAGG